GUAGAAUGUAUAAACAAAGUUUUAAAAUCUGACUCAAAUAAACGAAUGAAACUACAUAAACAACAAAAUCGUCCAGUUUGAUUUGACAAGGAAAACUAUAUAAUAAUUAGUUCGGCAUAUUUAUGUUUUAAGUACCAGUUUCCGUUUAUUUGUAAUGUGAUGAUAUUAUUGUCGGCUGGCUUGCCGUGAUCUUGGCCACAUACGUUGCGUUCAUAUCAGAGUACAGGAAUUUGUCUGUUAUUUACUUCAUUGGACAUACAUAGAAGUGUAUUUAUUUAUUCAUUUAGAACUGGAUCUAAAUUCUGAAAGGAUACAAAUCAAAAUGCAGAAAGUUUGCAUUAUGGUGCUAACAAUCUGCCUGUUAUUGGUAGCUAGUGUAGAAGAAUCUAUGGCCAGACGAUCUUGGCGCCUGCAGAAUUGCUGUGCUUGGAGAAACUGUGGAUUUCGGAGGGAAUGUGUGCAGAUAGGGAGAAGAUGCCGGUGUAGAAGAUGGUCAGUGUUUGCUAGAUUGACCCACAACCGUUAUAAUGAUUAUACAUAAUAUAUUAUGUAUACUUAUCCGCAGGUGAUAUCGCUUUGCCCAGUGACUACUGGAGAUACUAGAAAAUUGACAAUAGCAAUACUGACACUCUGGUGGCUUAUUGGAUUUAGCGUUUUAUCUCUCAGCUUCUUGUCUAGUAAUUCGUAACAUAAAACAUUUAUAGGAUAUGCAGUAAGAUGCAGUUACAUAAAAAAAAUUGACUGAAAAAAAAACCCACAAAAAAUCCCAGUUAGAAACCAACAAUAUUUGAUAAUCGGAAAUCUUUUCUAAAUAUUUCUGUAAGACAGAGCGAUGAUCAUUUAGAUACCACGUUGCAAAUGAUAAUAAAUAUUUAUUUUUUUCAAUUAACCGUACUGUUUGCAUACUUUUUAAGCCGCCUUAAUGGCAACACUUAUUUAAGACCAAUGGUUUUAGCUCAAUACAAUUUAGGCCAUGAAAUCCUAACGUUCUUUAUCAGUUUCUUAGAUCUUGAAAGAUACAACAAUAUUGUCAUAAAAUUAAAAAAGUGGACAAGCUCAUUAAAAUCAUAAUUAUUUA